UACGUAGGGUGCGAGCGUUGUCCGGAAUUAUUGGGCGUAAAGAGCUUGUAGGCGGUUUGUCGCGUCUGCUGUGAAAAUCCGGGGCUCAACCCCGGACUUGCAGUGGGUACGGGCAGACUAGAGUGUGGUAGGGGAGACUGGAAUUCCCGGUGUAGCGGUGAAAUGCGCAGAUAUCAGGAGGAACACCGGUGGCGAAGGCGGGUCUCUGGGCCGAUACUGACGCUGAGGAGCGAAAGCGUGGGGAGCGAACAGG
rnacentral:rRNA from 1 species